rnacentral:rRNA from 1 species
AUCUACAGCGGUGCUACCCUGAACAAGCCUGAUCCUGUCUGAUCUCAGGAAGCUAAGCAGGGUCAGGCCUGGUUAGUACUUAGAUGGGAGACCACCUAGGAAGACCAGGUGCUAUAGGCG